CGACUCCAGUGUGGUCUCCCCCGGCAUACCCGCAGUACGUGUGUCUGUCGAUCGGUCGGUCAGGGUAAUUGGGGAGAGUACAAGUGAGAGUCAGUUUUCAGUUGUGUGCAGUGCCUAAAAGAAUGCUACGAAUUAGUGUGAUUUUGUCAAAAAUAUACUUGUGCUUUGGCUAACGCCCAGGAUUGAAUGGUCAAGUAGGGGG
rnacentral:lncRNA from 1 species